rnacentral:rRNA from 1 species
UAGAAAAAUCCGUUUUAUAAUGGUAUUAUUUUAGAGAUUUUUACAACUAGAACUGAAGAGGGUUUAUAUAUAUUAAAUAGACGUUUUUAAUUUACGUACUUUUUGUAUAAUGGCUUAUAGAGUUUGAAAAUAAAUUUUUAUUCCCGAAAACUUUAGAGCUAUUUUUUUUUAUUUUAUUGUUGCAGUAAUAUGAAAAAUUGAAAAUAGAUGUGACAUGUGUUACGAAAAAGUUGAUACCUGGUUUAAUAGGAAAUGCAUUCAGUGCAGCCACGGUAAAAACCAAUCUGAGAUAGCAGAUCGGUUUGGGUCGUGAGUGAAAUAAUAGGGGGUAAGCUCUAUUAUAAAUAAGAAAUCUAAUCUUAAAAAAGUAGAAAUAACAUUUUUAAGCUUUUAAAACUUUUCACAAAUUUUUUUUUUUUUUUUUUUUAUUAUUACUAUUAUUUUAGAAACAACUAGUUUUUAAAAAGUAGUAUAAGAUUAGUAGGAGCAAAAUUAAUUUUCUUCACAUACCAAGUAUUGGAAUAGGGAAAUAUAAUUAUAUAGAAAUAUACUAUUGAGGAACUCGGCAAAUCGAACCCCCGCCUGUUUAACAAAAACAUGUCUCUUUGAUAAAUAUUAUAAGGAGUCGGCCCUGCCCGGUGGCGUCGUGCUAAACGGUCGCAAUGGAUAGUUGUGCUAAGGUAGCGCAGUCAAUUGUCCUUUAAUUGGGGAAAGGAAUGAAAGGGUUGACGAGGGGUGAGCUGUCUUUAUAGUAUAGUUUGAAGUUUUCUUUUACGUGAAAAGACUUAAAUUUAAAAAUAAGAAGAGAAGACCCCGGCGAGCUUGGUAAGGGUUAUUAAACUAAAAUAAUUAUUGAGGUUUGUUGGGGCAACGCAAAGGGAAAAUAACUCCUUUGAACGUAAUAAAGAUCCACUUAGAGUGAAUAAAGCAAAAGCUACCGCGGGGAUAACAGCGCAUUUUUUCAGAGAGUUCAUAUCGAAGAGAAUGUUUGCGACCUCGAUGUUGGAUUAAGAUUUCCUUUUGGUGCAGGGGUUAAAAAGGUGGGACUGUUCGUCCUUUAAAAUCUUACAUGAUCUGAGUUCAGACCGGCGUGAGCUAGGUCGGUUUCUAUCUAUUAUAAAUUGUUUGUCGUACGUAAGGAUCCGAAUAAUAAAAAAUUUUUUUGAUUAUAAAAUAAUUGAAUGAUUGGAUUUAGGCCUAUGUUUGCUUUGCUCGUAUAUUUAAUUAUAGGGUUCAUUUUAGUCUUAAUUAUUAAUUAUCUUUGAUGAAGGGAGUUGAAUAA